GUAGUAUAGUUGUUUUUCAUUACAAGAUUAACUUUUUUGCUUUUCGAAGCUUUAAAAUCAAUUAAAAUUAAGCACUUUACUGGCAAUGAUUUGGUGGGCUGUGUACCAUCGUGUGGUAAUCUUAGUAUUGCAGAUGGCACAGUAAAAACUAUAGGCCGUCUGUUUGCAGCAUCUAUUGUGAAUGGUGGUUCUAUACCUUUUUUUUUGUUCCUUUGGGUUUAUGAACUUAUGACGAAUGGCAUAUCAGCUGCAGUAAGGUGUUGUCCGAAGGCUCUAGAGGAAUCGUCAAAUUUAAAAAGUAUUUUUGAUAAGAUUUUGUUUGCAACUACAGAUGGCUGUUUAAGUACUCUGUUAUGUACAGAUGAAGGAAUGGAUGCCCUUGAAAUUAUUCGAUAUAGAAGUGAUCCAAGAAAAUUAAUGAUAAACAUUCUCUUUUAGAGUCAAUGUUAAUUAAAGGUAAAGUAGAGCAAUUUUUACCUGUUAUUGGAGAAAUUGCGAUUGGUUUACGAGUGUAUGGCCU